rnacentral:sRNA from 21 species
CUCGCUUCGGAAGUGGUGGGCUAUUGCAUCGCGUGCCUUCGGCACU